UACGGAGGGAGCUAGCGUUGUUCGGAAUUACUGGGCGUAAAGCGCACGUAGGCGGCUUUGUAAGUUAGAGGUGAUAGCCUGGAGCUCAACUCCAGAAUUGCCUUUAAGACUGCAUCGCUUGAAUCCAGGAGAGGUGAGUGGAAUUCCGAGUGUAGAGGUGAAAUUCGUAGAUAUUCGGAAGACACCAGUGGCGAAGGCGUCUCACUGGACUGGUAUUGACGCUGAGGUGCGAAGCGUGGGGGCAACAGGAUUAGAUACC
rnacentral:rRNA from 1 species